rnacentral:rRNA from 1 species
UACGAAGGGGGCUAGCGUUGCUCGGAAUCACUGGGCGUAAAGCGCACGUAGGCGGCUUUCUAAGUCAGGGGUGAAAUCCUGGAGCUCAACUCCAGAACUGCCUUUGAUACUGGAGAGCUUGAGUCCGGGAGAGGUGAGUGGAACUCCGAGUGUAGAGGUGAAAUUCGUAGAUAUACGGAAGAACACCAGUGGCGAAGGCGGCUCACUGGCCCGGUACUGACGCUGAGGUGCGAAAGCGUGGGGAGCAAACAGG